UCCAGACUCCUACGGGAGGCAGCAGUGAGGAAUAUUGGUCAAUGGCCGAGAGGCUGAACCAGCCAAGUCGCGUGAGGGAAGAAUGUCCUAUGGAUUGUAAACCUCUUUUGUCAGGGAGCAAAGUCACCCACGUGUGGGUGUUGGAGAGUACCUGAAGAAAAAGCAUCGGCUAACUCCGUGCCAGCAGCCGCGGUAAUACGGAGGAUGCGAGCGUUAUCCGGAUUUAUUGGGUUUAAAGGGUGCGCAGGCGGCGCGGCAAGCCGGCGGUCAAAUCGCGGGGCUCAACCCCGCCCAGCCGUCGGAACUGCCGGGCUAGAGUGGGCGAGAAGUGCGCGGAAUGCGUGGUGUAGCGGUGAAAUGCAUAGAUAUCACGCAGAACUCCGAUUGCGAAGGCAGCGCACCGGCGCCCUACUGACGCUCAGGCACGAAAGCGUGGGUAUCGAACAGGAUUAGAUACCCCGGUAAUA
rnacentral:rRNA from 1 species